GCCGGAGGUUGCUCGACCCGGCCACCCCGGGAGUUCCUCCUUAGCCUGGUCCAGUCGGAGGUUCCUCGGCCUGGCUGCGUUCUCCCGCCAUCCUCGGACCCGGGAGGGUCGGAGGUUACCACCUUUCCUCGCUCGUGGACCUCCGCCGGUGUCUCAGUCCCUGCACACACUUAGCACGACCAGACGAGUCGUCAACAUUAGCAUUUCCCGAUGAAGGAUAUCCUCCGACGCUUCAGGCGUUGGAGGUUCCUCAGGUGAAGGAUAACCUCCGACGCUACCAGGGGGAAGGAUGCAGCUGUUCCCCAACAGUUCCCCCCUUUUUGGGCUAAUGGCACUCCUGCGGUCCAUGUGCUCAAAAACAUGCUACGCUGCGGAGACUAUGAGCAUGGUUGCUGCCUUCCCCCCUGGUGCGCAGGAUGUGUU
rnacentral:lncRNA from 1 species